UGAGGUAGUAGGUUGUAUA
rnacentral:ncRNA from 4 species